ACGAACUCCUCAGCUCCGGAGAUGCUCUCCACCAGACUCAGGUCCUCCGACACGCUGCUCUUUGGUCUGUAGUGGGACGAGUCCACCAGGCCGUGCUCGAUCAUACCUUCACAAAUCAGAGCCGAACCCCUCAGAGAGCUGUUCAUGUGGUCGUAGAGUUCCUGCAGGGACGGACGAGGAAACGGGACGUGAGAGGAGGUGACAACAGAGAGGACAGGACGAAGAGCGGCAGUGAACCACAGGACUGUCACAUGACAGAAGCCACAACACACGGGACAGUUUGCCAAGAAGACAAGGGUCGGCUCAGGAUCGCCAGCAUCCAGCCCUGUUCUCUCUUUACAGCCUGGGUCCUGGUUCCAAAGUGACCCCCACUUAUCAGAAGAUCCCCCACUGCUCUGAGUGCAGCGGCAGCUGUUAGCUCACACUGUCACUGUGUGUUUAAGGCUGUUUAACGAAUGCUGCUAAACAAUCACAGGUUUUCAGAGGAUGAAGUGUCUAUUAACAUCUGUACACAUUUAUGUAGAGUUACUGCAUCAAUAAUAGACACAUUUACACAGUAUUUCUAUUUUUUAUUCGAUCAUUACCCAUUCUAUGGCACAGUAACAGCUUUCAUCGUAAUCUGUUAUGUGCUACACUAAUUUAAUCGCCCUUGACACUCUACUUAUGUGCAGGUGAGACGUACCUUCCUGGUAGUUGUGUGCCCCGUCAGGCAGAGCCAGGAAUGGGAGGUACUUCCACUCCUCGGGCAGCAGAUUACUGUCAUGACCCUCAUCUGGCAUCAAGGGAGGGUAGGAGAAUUCAACCUGAGUGCCGAGGAGAGAAAACAGGGUCGGAUUUAUC